CGAUCGAGCCAGCUUGCUGGUGAAGUGACUGAACGAGGUUCCAGGAAAAGCCACUAAGCUUCAGCUAUAUACGACCGUACCGCAAACCGACACUGGUGCGCGAGAUGAGUAUUCUAAGGCGCUUGAGAGAACUCAGGAGAAGGAACUCGGCAAAUUGACACCGUAACUUCGGAAGAAGGUGUGCCCUAUUAGUGUGAAGUGAACAACGGAGCAUGAAUGGGUUGCAAAAAAUCGGUGGCUGCGACUGUUUAUUAAAAACACAGCA
rnacentral:rRNA from 1 species